rnacentral:rRNA from 1 species
UACGAAGGGGGGCUAGCGUUGUUCGGAAUUACUGGGCGUAAAGAGCUCGUAGGCGGUUUGUCGCGUCUGCCGUGAAAGUCCGGGGCUCAACUCCGGAUCUGCGGUGGGUACGGGCAGACUAGAGUGAUGUAGGGGAGACUGGAAUUCCUGGUGUAGCGGUGAAAUGCGCAGAUAUCAGGAGGAACACCGAUGGCGAAGGCAGGUCUCUGGGCAUUAACUGACGCUGAGGAGCGAAAGCAUGGGGAGCGAACAGG